rnacentral:rRNA from 1 species
UACGGAGGAUCCAAGCGUUAUCCGGAUUUACUGGGCGUAAAGAGUUGCGUAGGUGGUUCGCCAAGUUUUCGUUUAAAUGCCAAGGCUCAACCUUGGAAGUGACGAAAAAACUGGCGAACUCGAGAAUGAGAGAGGUCACUGGAAUUCCUUGUGUAGGAGUGAAAUCCGUAGAUAUAAGGAGGAACACCAAUGGCGUAGGCAGGUGACUGGCUCAUUUCUGACACUGAGGCACGAAAGCGUGGGGAGCGAACGGG